rnacentral:rRNA from 1 species
GAUGAACGCUGGCGGCGUGCUUAACACAUGCAAGUCGAGCGAAGCACCUUGACGGAUUUCUUCGGAUUGAAGCCUUGGUGACUGAGCGGCGGACGGGUGAGUAACGCGUGGGUAACCUGCCUCAUACAGGGGGAUAACAGUUGGAAACGGCUGCUAAUACCGCAUAAGCGCACAGUACCGCAUGGUACGGUGUGAAAAACUCCGGUGGUAUGAGAUGGACCCGCGUCUGAUUAGGUAGUUGGUGGGGUAACGGCCUACCAAGCCGACGAUCAGUAGCCGACCUGAGAGGGUGACCGGCCACAUUGGGACUGAGACACGGCCCAAACUCCUACGGGAGGCAGCAGUGGGGAAUAUUGCACAAUGGGGGAAACCCUGAUGCAGCGACGCCGCGUGAGCGAUGAAGUAUUUCGGUAUGUAAAGCUCUAUCAGCAGGGAAGAAAAUGACGGUACCUGACUAAGA